ACUCCUACGGAGGCAGGCAGAGGUGGGGAAUAUUGCACAAUGGGCGCAAGCCUGAUGCAGCCAUGCCGUGUGUGUGAAGAAGGCCUUCGGGUUGUAAAGCACUUUCAGCGAGGAGGAAGGUGGUGAGCUUAAUACGCUCAUCAAUUGACGUUACUCGCAGAAGAAGCACCGGCUAACUCCGUGCCAGCAGCCGCGGUAAU
rnacentral:rRNA from 1 species